UGAAGAAACCGGGACUGGGGAUGUAGCUCAGUGGCACUGUCUGCCUUGCAAGCGCAGGGUCCUGAGUUCAAUCCCCGGUACCAAAAAAAAAAAAGUGAAGGAACCUGUGUGUUAGAGAAGUAAUGCUGUUGUAAUAAAUGUAAUUCAACUGAGGACUUCUCAACUUCAGUCCUAUGAAGAGAUAAAAUGUGUGGUUUCCAGGAAGAAAAAGUAGAUGAUGGUGGAGAGCAGUGGGGUGUUUGUACAAUCUCUAGAUUGAGGAUGACCAGUGUUUCCUCCGGGGUUUUAAUCAUGUAAGAAAUUUACAGAAGAAAAUUGAGAAGGUUCUUAAUUUAAACCAGGUCCCAGUCCAAGUACCUGGGAUCAAUCCAAGGAGCCAUGAAUGCAGAGAAGUACUCUAAGACUGAUCUACAUCCCUAGGCCCAAAGAUAAUAUUUUGAUCAUUACUAAACUAAAAUAAUUUAAGUGAAUAGAUGUAAGAGGUUUUCAUUAACACCUUAUACAACUCCAAAAUUUAGAGAAUAAAUUUAAAACAUUUUUAAUUAAGG
rnacentral:lncRNA from 1 species